UAGCCAUGGUGUAGGCACUGAUUCAACGGAUCCUUGAAUCUUUCUUAGACUUGAUAGAACAUUUCAUUGUCCUUUUGGGAAAAAGUGGAAAUCUGUCGUUUUAGAUU